UCCCUUCGGUCCCCGGCCUCCGCUCCCCGGUCCCCGAUAACCCCAGCCGCCCGGCCCCUGGUCCACGCCCCCCGCCCCUGGCCGACGGCCCCCGGCCCGGCCCCGAACCUGGGCAGUUCCUUGACCAGGCUCUGCAGCGCUGACAGCAGCUGGUAGUGCCGCUCCUGCUGCCGGGCCCGGUCCGCAGCCUCGUCCCCGGCGCCCGCGUAGCGGUCCAUAGCCCGGCCGCCCGCCGCCCCCCAGUCCGCCUCUCCCGGACGCUCCGGCGAGCCCCGCCCCCUACGUCAAUCUCCGGCGCGGAUGACGCAUGCGCCCCGCCCCUCCGUUGAACCGGAAUAUCCAACUGUCACACCUUCCCCAACCGAUGUACAAAAGUUCCCGAAUUCCUUGGCGAAGGUGGAACCUGGAAUACACAGACACGGUAUGUAUUCUGGAGUCACUGAAGACAUGUUUUAGAUGUGAAUUGUGUGAAUACUGGUUGU